rnacentral:rRNA from 1 species
UACGGAGGGUGCAAACGUUGCUCGGAAUUAUUGGGCGUAAAGCGCACGUAGGCGGCUUGUUGUGUCCGGUGUGAAAUCCCUCGGCUUAACCGAGGAAGUGCAUUGGAAACUGGCAAGCUUGAGUACUGAAGAGGGUCGCGGAAUUCCCGGUGUAGAGGUGAAAUUCGUAGAUAUCGGGAGGAACACCAGUGGCGAAGGCGGCGACCUGGGCAGAUACUGACGCUGAGGUGCGAAAGCGUGGGGAGCAAACAGG